rnacentral:rRNA from 1 species
UACGAAGGGUGCAAGCGUUACUCGGAAUUACUGGGCGUAAAGCGUGCGUAGGUGGUUUGUUAAGUCUGUUGUGAAAGCCCCGGGCUCAACCUGGGAAUGGCAAUGGAUACUGGCAAGCUAGAGUGCGGUAGAGGGUAGUGGAAUUCCCGGUGUAGCGGUGAAAUGCGUAGAGAUCGGGAGGAACACCAGUGGCGAAGGCGGCUACCUGGACCAGCACUGACACUGAGGCGCGAAAGCGUGGGGAGCGAACAGG